rnacentral:rRNA from 1 species
CAGCCGCCGCGGUAACCCCAGCGCCACAAGUGGGAACCACGCUUAUUGGGUCUAAAGCAUCCGUAGCCGGUUCUGCAAAUGCCCUGUGAAAUCGUUGCGCUUAACGUAACGGCGUGCAGGGUAGACUACAGAACUAGGGACCAGAGGAAGUAGACGGUAUUCCUGAGGGAGCGGUAAAAUGUGAUAAUCUCAGGAGGACCACCGAUGGCGAAGGCAGUCUUCUAAUAUGGAUCUGACGGUGAGGGAUGAAAGCUAGGGGAGCGAUCCGGAUUAGAUACCCGAGUAGUCCUAGCCGUAAACGCUGCAUGCCAGAUGUUACACAAUCUUCGAGAUUGUGUAGUGUCGAAACGAAGGUGUUAAGCAUGCCACCUGGGAAGUACGGUCGCAAGGCUGAAACUUAAAGGAAUUGGCGGGGGGAGCAC